CCCGACCCAUCGCCACAACCUCCUCGAUCCGAUCUGGAUCGGGAGAGGAGCUCCCAGGGCACCCAAUCCAGGAGGCCUGGCCUCUCGCCAGCCGGCGCCUCAGCCGGACCAGGACCCCGUCGCCCCUGCCCUUCUCCUUCCUUCCUUCGUCUCCUCCUCUCAUCUCCCUCGUUCUUCUCCUACAACAAGUGUUCCUUGCGCCAUGGACAGGACGAGCCCCGCCUUGCCAUGGAUGCCGACCUCCUCCACCUGCACCAUGACGACCUCCCACUACCCGCACCCAUUCCUCAAUCAUGCCUGCAAAUCGCCUUUUCCUAGCCUCCUCAUGUCGAUCUUGUCGCUCAAGCUGAACCUCCAUUCCUCCUUGUCUGCCUGUUUUUGACUGCUACUGCUGUCGCUGCCUUUUGCUGCAGGGGCUCGCCGCCGCUCAUGGUCUCGUCUCCGGCCGGAUCCAUGCGCCACCUCAAGCUCCAACCUGAUGAAUUAAACUCAUCGUUGGGAGAACCCUCUGCCUCCUGUUCUGCGGCAUCAAGCACUAGCAGCUCGAUCGCUCGCGUUGACCGAGCCACAUCCGUGGGUCAGCAUCGCCGACCUGAGCCCCCACGUCGCCAUGGCCGGCCCUGCCAAGCUCCAGCCCGCCAGCCACCAUCUCCUGUCAGAUCCGCCUGGUCCCGGCCAUCUUCGUCGACCACCGGCCAACCCUGCUUGCCUUGCACGUCGCUGCCAUCGCCUUCGUGCCGCAGCCCAAGAGCUGCUCCGCGCCGCGCUGCCUCCUUCUGUUGGGAGCAGACAAAGGAAGCCGCCCCUGCCCGUUGACUUCCACGCCCGCGUGGGCCUCUCCUGCUGCACUGACUGGGCCUUGGCCCAUGUUCCGGUUACAUUGUGAUUGUGACGAUCCGUUCGACUACGUUGGUUCAUCUUCUUCUUCAUGGAUCCGGUUCUCUUCCUAGAGGGAUUUUAGCGAAAUCAACGCAAGCUCAAGAAGUAGCGUGAAGAAUUUCUGGCGCCGUUGCUGGGGAGGUUCUACACCAAGACUACAAGGUUUACACAAAGAGGGAGAAUGCCGGCAGCUGGAAUUCUGGACCUGAAAAAGCUACGUCAGAGUUACCUAUUCUGCAAAUCUCCAAAUGAGCUGAAAAUUUACGGAGAAUUGUUUUGGAAUAUAUAGUAAAUACUGGAGCAAAUAACUUCCAGAGGGGCCCACCCUAGUGAGCACAAGACAUCAGGGCGCGCCUGGGCCCCCAGGUGCGCCCUGGUGGGUUGUCCCCUCCUCGGCCCACCUCCGGUGCCCAUAUUCGGGUAUAUAGGUCAUUUUUAGCUAGAAAAAAAUAUGAAGGGGACUUUCGGGAUGGAGCGCCGUCGUCUCGAGGUGGAACUUGGACAGGAGCACUUUUUUCCUCCGGCGGAGUGAUUCCGUCGAGGAAACUUCCCACCAACAACCCUUUCAUCUUUGGGAGGCCAAUCUUCAUCAACAUCUUCAACAACACCAUAUCCUCUAACACCCUAGUUCAUCUCUUGUGUUCAAUCUUUGUACCGAAACCUCAGAUUGGUACAUGUGGGUGGCUACUAGUGUUGA